rnacentral:tRNA from 1 species
GCCUGGGUGGCUCAGUCGGUUAAGCAUCUGACUUCAGCUCAGGUCAUGAUCUCACGGUUUGUGGGUUCGAGCCCCGCGUCGGGCU